UUUUUUUUUUUUUUGUCUUUUUGCCUUUUGAGGGCUGCUCCCGCAGCAUAUGGAGGUUCCCAGGCUAGGGGUCGAAUCAGAGCUGUAGCCACUGGCGUACACCAGAGCCACAGCAACACGGGAUCCGAGCGCAUCUGCGACCUACACCACAGCUCACGGCAAUGCCGGAUCCUUAACCCUCUGAGCGAGGAUCUGGCAUUGCCUAGAGCUACAGAGUAGGUCACAGAUGUGGCUCGGAUCUGUUGUUGCUGUGGCUGUGGUAUAGGCGAGUGGCUGCUGCUCCAAUUUGACCCCUAGCCUGGGAACUUCCAUCUCCUGCAGGUGCGGCGAAUAAAGAAAAAAGAAAAAGGGUGAGUGACUUGAUAUUAUUAUAAUCAUUUUGACCUUGGGGACCCCCAGGUCAAUCAUUUUGACCUGGGGGGAACCCCCCCCCCGGCAGGGUUCUGUGGACUGUAGUUUGAGAAUCGCUCCUUCCCUUUGGGUUCUAUAGGGCCUAGAGACAGUAUCCUAGGAACAGAACACCUCUUGUGCCAGGCGACCUGGUUCAAAAGACAGUUCUGGUGGCUCAGCAGGUUAAGGAGCUGGCAUUGUCACAGCUGUAGCUCUAGUUAGUGCAGUGGCAUGGGUUCAAUCCAGCAGGGGGAAAAAAAAAAAAAAAAAAGAGCUAGAGAGACAGCUUUGACUGCAAGCAGGGUGAGCUCAGCUAUUCUCAGAUAUUCUCGUUUCUUCAUCUCUCACAUGGAGAUUGGAGUUCCCACUGUGGCUCAGUGGGUUAAGAACCCGUCUGGUAUCCAUGAAGAUGCAGGUUUGAUAGCUGGCCUUGCUCAUUGGGCUAAGGAUCCCGCAUUGCUGCAAACUGUGGCGUAGGUCGCAGUUGUGGCUUGCAUCUGGCAUUGGUGUGGCUGUGGCAUAGGUCAGCAGCUGCAGCUGCAGCUCCAGCUCUGAUUUGACCCUUGGCCUGGGAACCUACAUAUGUCACAAGUUCGGCCCUAAAAAGACAAACAAACCAAAAACCAAAAACCAAAAACUCUCCAAACCAAAACAAAAAACAUGAAUAUGGUACCGAUGAAAAUAAUAAAAGUACCUCCAUCCUAAGGUUAUAGCAAGACCCUUAGAUUCCUCCUCAAAUUACAUCUGGCAUGCAGUGUACAGUAAACAUUUUGCUGUUAGUAGCUUGGGAAACACCAUUUUAUUUUAUUACCACUUUUUAUUCAUGCAGUUAGUUUCUCCAGAGGCCAGUCUUGUGCUGGUCAGUGCUGGGGACAUGGCGAUGACCGAGAAGGGCCUGGCUCUGCCUUCAAAGGGCUCCCCAUCCAGCAAGGCCCAGAGUUUAAUUUGUGAGGGAUGGCCCUUAGCACCGCGAACCUGAGAAGUGUGAGUUCUUAGGACUGGGGAGGUGGGAAAAGGCAAGGAGCCCUGGCAAGUGGAGAGGGGGACAACUGUGGCCUGAUGAUUGGCCCGGUUAUUUUGCUAUUUUGCCCGUUACUCUGCCCCUAAGACGCCUCAGUCGUGUUGCCUAUCUGGUUCAUCCCCCCUCCUUCCCAACCUCUCUUGUAUAAAGUUAGUUCAUAGAUUGGGGGGGGGGGCUCUUUGAGGGAAGUCCCACCUCUGCUCUAACCUCGGUCUCUCAUGCUGCAGCUCCUCCUUUGGCUGCAUAUCCAUCCACAGUGCCACGUGGAAACUUGGGAUGUCCAGGCAGAAGAAGUGUCCGGGAUGGCGGGGGUCCGGUCCAGGCGCCUCCACUGUCCCCAAUCCGGGGGCCGCC
rnacentral:lncRNA from 1 species